GAUGAAGAACGCAGCGAAAUGCGAUAAGUAAUGUGAAUUGCAGAAUUCAGUGAAUCAUCGAAUCUUUGAACGCACCUUGCGCCCUUUGGCCAUUCCGAAGGGCAUGCCUGUUUGAGUAUCAUGAACACCUCAACUCUUUAUGGUUUUCCAUGAUGAGCUUGGACUGUGGAGGUUUUGUUGGCCCUGUGGUCAGCUCCUCUCAAAUGGAUCAGCUUACCGGUGUUUGGUGGCAUUACGGGUGUGAUAACUAUCUACGCUCGUGGUCGUCUCCAAAUAACCUCCAGUGAUGGAGGUUCGCUGGAGCUUAUAAAUGUCUCUCCCCAGUGAAGACAGCCUUUGAACGUUCGAUCUCAAAUCAGGUAGGACUACCCGCUGAACUUAAGCAUAUCAAUAAGCGGAGGA
rnacentral:misc_RNA from 1 species